rnacentral:rRNA from 1 species
AGAGUUUGAUCCUGGCUCAGAUUGAACGCUGGCGGCAUGCCUUACACAUGCAAGUCGAACGGUAACGCGGGGGCAACCCUGGCGACGAGUGGCGAACGGGUGAGUAAUACAUCGGAACAUAUCCAGUAGCGGGGGAUAACCUAUCGAAAGAUGGACUAAUACCGCAUACGAUCUACGGAUGAAAGCAGGGGACCGCAAGGCCUUGCACUAUUGGAGUGGCCGAUGUCGGAUUAGCUAGUUGGUGGGGUAAAAGCUUACCAAGGCGACGAUCCGUAGCUGGUCUGAGAGGACGAUCAGCCACACUGGAACUGAGACACGGUCCAGACUCCUACGGGAGGCAGCAGUGGGGAAUUUUGGACAAUGGGCGCAAGCCUGAUCCAGCCAUGCCGCGUGAGUGAAGAAGGCCUUCGGGUUGUAAAGCUCUUUCGGUGAAGACGAAACGGUUCAUGCUAAUAACGUGAACUAAUGACGGUACUCACAGAAGAAGCACCGGCUAACUACGUGCCAGCAGCCGCGGUAAUACGUAGGGUGCAGGCGUUAAUCGGAAUUACUGGGCGUAAAGCGUGCGCAGGCGGUUUGCUAAGACAGGUGUGAAAUCCCCGGGCUUAACCUGGGAAUUGCGCUUGUAACUGGCAAGCUAGAGUGUGGCAGAGGGGGGUGGAAUUCCACGUGUAGCAGUGAAAUGCGUAGAUAUGUGGAGGAACACCGAUGGCGAAGGCAGCCCCCUGGGUUAACACUGACGCUCAUGCACGAAAGCGUGGGGAGCAAACAGGAUUAGAUACCCUGGUAGUCCACGCCCUAAACUAUGUCAACUAGUUGUCGGGGAAGAAAUUCCUUGGUAACGAAGCUAACGCGUGAAGUUGACCGCCUGGGGAGUACGGCCGCAAGGUUAAAACUCAAAGGAAUUGACGGGGACCCGCACAAGCGGUGGAUUAUGUGGAUUAAUUCGAUGCAACGCGAAAAACCUUACCUACCCUUGACAUGCUAGGAAGCCCGCAGAGAUGUGGGUGUGCCCGAAAGGGAACCUAGACACAGGUGCUGCAUGGCUGUCGUCAGCUCGUGUCGUGAGAUGUUGGGUUAAGUCCCGCAACGAGCGCAACCCUUGCCAUUAGUUGCUACAUUCAGUUGGGCACUCUAAUGGGACCGCCGGUGACAAACCGGAGGAAGGUGGGGAUGACGUCAAGUCCUCAUGGCCCUUGGGUAGGGCUUCACACGUAAUACAAUGGUCGGUACAGAGGGCUGCCAACCCGCAAGGGGGAGCUAAUCCCAGAAAGCCGAUCGUAGUCCGGAUUGUAGUCUGCAACUCGACUGCAUGAAGCCGGAAUCGCUAGUAAUCGCGGAUCAGCAUGUCGCGGUGAAUACGUUCCCGGGUCUUGUACACACCGCCCAUCACACCAUGGGAGUGGGUUCCACCAGAAGUAGUUAGCCUAGCCGCAAGGAGGGCGAUUACCACGGUGAGAUUCAUGACUGGGGUGAAGUCGUAACAAGGUA